ensembl:lncRNA
CGAGGGUGUGAGCAGCCUGUGAUUAAAGGAGAACGAAACGCUGAUUAUGGGUUAAUUAGGCAGGCUAAUAAACUGCCUAUAGCUUCAUUUAGGAAAGGAACUGUAUUUCAUCACCCAGAAAACAGUGCAGAACUUGGAGAAGAGGAGUGUUUUUAUUAGAAAGGCUGAAAUUCAGCUUCUGACGAGAAAAGUUGACUCCAGGCAUGGUCUUCAGCCAGAGGUGCGUUGGGGAUGGAAGGAUUAAACAACCUGUAGUGCUUACACAAACCAGUGUUUUCCAAUGCCCAUCCCUGAAAUGGAAGUUGAGAAGUGGUUUAUCAGAAGUGGUUCCAUGCCUUGGUCCGUAACUCGGCUGGGCCGUGUGGCCUCUUUCAAUUCAGGAUGAGCACUUGGGCCACAUCUGCUUCUCUGUAUGGGUUUUGAUGUUCUCCGAUGUUCAGUGUCACUUUUUCCAAGUUUAAACCACACCAUCUCAUUAAUUCCAGCCCAAGAACAUCCCAAGCAGGGACCAAAUGGGAGGGAGAGGUCAAUGAAACCACUCUGAUGAGCUCCAACAGUGGAGAAAAAACACGCACCCACCACUGCUCUGAUGGCCGAGGCACCAGCAUAAAAAUAAAUCCUUCCUUGUCACAUUCCAGUAUAUUAGCAGUGACACUUAAUAACUUCUACUUAAUAGCCUCCAUAUUUGUGUGGGAAUCUAUGACAUGCUGAGGACUGGACACGCUUUCUGAGCACAUGCAGCGUGGUUGCCCCAUAUGUCGUGCAGCUUGCAAAAAAAGGAGAGAGACAAGCAAGAGAAACAUAUAUCUGGGAGAGAUAGAAUGUAAUUUUUAAUUGAACUUCAUGUUGUGGGUAAAAAUAGGGCUGACAGCUUUGAAGAUCAGGGUCUACUCUUUCUAUAGCAGAUAAAUGUACCAGAUGCUCGUGAGUAUGGCCAAAUCCUACCCUGGUGGGUUUUCUAAGGAUUGGAGAGGACUCCUCUCAGUGUGCAUCACAUCUCUACGUGUCAUGGUCCCCAAGGGGUGGUGAGAAAUGAGUCUCCUGUGCAGGUGAAGGUCCCCACGUGCCAUAAGCGUGGGCUUCGUCAACCCCAUGCAGCCCCGCUCAGAUGCAUUUCCAUUGCUGGUUGUAUUUCUGGCUCUGCUCAUCGAGUAAUUAAAAACACUCAUUUGGAAAACAACAAAAACAAACAGACUAGAAAUCAGUCAAACCUCAUCAGUCAAGACUGCACUGAAGCAACCCGCAGCUACGACCACAGAAAGGCUUUGAUUCCCAGCUUGUCACCCUAGGUUUGAGGUGAAAAGGAAUCAUCAUCCCCAUGUAGAAUUUAUUACCAUUUUCUGGGGAGCCAGAAACCCCUUUUGCUUAAAUCUCAGUGCAUUUUUCCUUUCUGCAAGGAAGCAGAAUAAGGUGUCCCACACAUCUCCAUGUCCCAGAGACCACCACACAAAACCAUAUUCAUAGAAUCAUAAAAUCACUGAAUCGUAGAAUAAUUAAGAUUGGAAAAGACCUCUGAAAUCAUCCAGUCUAAGUGUCCACCUACCACCAAUAUUGCCCACUAAGCCAUUUCCCUAAAUAUUGCCACUUUCCACCCAAAUCUGAUUUUCCCAGGGAUAAUUCAGUCACCUAAGCCCUACACAUGCAGCUUCAUCCUCUUAAAUCUCCUUCCUAUAUAACAAAUAGAUGAGGCUAGAAAUACUGGAAAUGGAAAUGGUGUGGGGGGGGGGACAUGUUCAGACAUGUUGACUCAAAGGUCUUUCUUCAAAAUCUUUCUAAUUGGGCAUUUACCUAAGCUGCAGUCCCUGCCACACAAAGCCUUUGCUUAGAGCAGUGCAUGCAGCGAGACAAUUGCCUUUUUAUUUUGCUGGUUAUUAUUCCUCACUGGAAAUAGGAAGGAAAAAAAAAAAAGAAAAAGAAAAAGAAAGCUAUCACUCUGGAUUUUUUUAUCAGGUUUCAGCCACUCUGGAUGAUGUUCAAUAAAAGAAAAGCUAUCUCUGUUAGAGAUGAGUAGCCCUUUACAGAACAGUCAUUGCCUACCAAGUAACCUUUAAGCAUCUGACUGUCUCUUAAGUUAAUGUAGGUAGAGGAUGGAGAGGAAGCUACAGUCACUUCUGUGUGUUUGAAAAACACAGCUGUUUCUCAUAAAAUUCAGCAGCCAGACAUACAUGCACUGAUUGGUUUUGUUGAUGCUGUUGUUUUCAGUUUUCAUGAAAUCACUAUCCAUCACCUUCCUCACACCCAGCUGAACCGUCAGGUCCCCAUGCAUGCUGCAGGAGAAGCAGAGUCAGGCAUGCUUCAGAGACCCGGCAUAGUGUCCUCUUCCCACCAGGAGAGCUCAGAAGAAGCCAGAAGGUCACAAGUGAUGUUCUCAGCAGCAAAACUGGGCUGUCAGUCAGGCUGCACGGACCUCCACUGGAGAACCACGCUCUGGUGCAACACACAUCUCCAGGCAGCCUUGUCUUACCAGGGUGGGAAUUGGGGUCUCCAUGUUGGACUCAAUGAUUCUUAUGGUCCCUUCUGACUUGGGAUAUUCUAUGAUAUUCUGCGUGUCUGUACCUACAGGUGCAUCAUAUACCUCUCCUAGGCUCUCCUACAGCAUCUACCCUGGCAAGAGAAGUGCACAGCCAAGCUGCAGGGACAGAGUUUGGAUAAGUCCUUAUGGCAGAGCCCUUGGAGACACUUUGGAGUUACAACCCAAGGUGCCCACAAACUUGCACGACAAAGCCUUUGCAAAAGUGACAUGCUGUCACCAGGCUCAGGGAGGGCAGCAUACAGGGUUCAGAUCUCCAGGAUAGCCAAGGAAGACUUGCUGCCUCCUCCAUGCACCCCAAUUCCUAGAGGAUCCGAGCCACAUCAGCAGGGAAGAAACUCCCAUGGCUUUGCUGGUAUGGCUCUAUGGAGAGUGGGGAGUUCUGGAGGAAACCUCAGCACUUCAAACAUGACCUGAUCCAUGGCUGCAUCCCAUAUUGAGAGAUUCAGGAUUUAAGGUCCCCCCGGCACCCAUGGCACAAGUGACAAGCAGCUGUCAGCAGCUCAGGGGGGUCUCCAGCUGCCUGCAAAUUUCCACAUUAAAGCUGUAAGCUCUCAUGCUUCACUUGGGACCAAUAAAACAGGAUAGGGUAGAGGCUGCUGUGAUAAAUGGGGCAUAAAUCACACCUUCCCCCUCUCCUUCCCCUUCCUUGUGGGGAGGUGGUACUGCCAGAGCCUCCACAGGCCCCACUUCAAUAUGCUCAGACAGGUCCUCUUCUGCCUGUGCAGUCAAUUAGAACUUCAUCAGAAAUCAAUUUGCGAGGCCCAGCUGAGAUGUACCUAUAGAUCAGCCAAUGCCAAGUGAUUAUUACACUAAUGGAAUAUUCCAUUGAUUAAUUGAAUAUUUAAGUCCUGAAAUGUAAGCCCCACUGUCUUAUCUGCGGCUUGUUACCGAGCUGUGCAGCAGAGAUACUGCACUGGUGCAUGGAGCUAACCUUGAGUCUGGUAUUUUUGGGGUGAAAUGCAGAGGUUUUGGUUCUGGUCACACAGGAGACAUUUUAGCAGCAAGAAUCAUGUUCUGCAUGGAGGGCUCGGCCACUUCAUAGAAACACAGAAUCAUAGAAUAACCUAAGUUGGAAGGGACCCAUAAGGAUCAUCAAGUCCCAAAAAUCAGACCAUAUGGCUGAGAUCAUUGCCUGCCCCUCCCUUCCCCUGUGGGGAAGCCGUAGGCUGCCAUGAGGGGACUGCAGGCCAUGAGUGGGCUGUAUGCUGCCAUGAGGGGGAUGUAGGCCAUGAGGAAGCUGUAGGCUGCCAUGGGGGGGAUGUAGGCCAUGAGGAAGCUGUAGGCCACUGUGAGGAAGCUGUAGGCCAUGAGGGGACCGUAGGCUGCCAUGCAGCCUCCCUUUCCCUGGGCUGAGCAAACCAAAGGACUUCAGCAGUGUUUGUGUUCCCCAAAUCUGGGCAGGAAAUCCUCAGUGAUUUAUUCCCAUUGUCACACACGAGCAGAUGUCAGGACUGCAGAGCACAGUGAGAAGAUCAGCCAAGGGUUUCCCAUCUGCUCUGCCCGUGGCCCCAGUGCUUUUCUACACCAAAAAAAAAACCCAGGUGUGCAGAGGGCAGAGGCCUCCUGCAUGGGAUUCUGGAUUCACCGCAUGGAGAAGGCUGGGUUACUUGCUCAGGGGAACACCUGUUUAAGUGCUUUGUUGGACAAAGGCCAUAACAACCGAGAGAGAAAUGAGGUGGAGAUGGGGAAAAGGGAGGGAUGGUGUCAGCAGGUGGAGGUGUGCCGCAGCUGGAGGUAUCGCUGAGGGCACAGCGGGGUGGUUAGGAAUAUUACCCCUGAAUUGUAUUGCGUGAUUAACUCAGUGGAGAGUCAUUAAGUGCAUGAGUGAGAGAGAGGAGUCACGUCCUCUCUGCAGAGCUCCUGCUCUCUCACCACGAGGUGAGGCCUUCUUCCCCCUUGCCCACACCCAGACCCUGCGAGCUGGCUGCUGGAAGAAGCCAUCAGGUCUGGGAAGGUGACCAACCGUGGCACAUGUCCAAAUGAGUCACAGAAUCCCAGAAUUGUUUGAGUUGGAAGGGAUGUUUAAAGGUCAUCUAGUCCAGCUCCCCUGCAAUGAACAGAGGCACCCACAGCUGAGCACAUCAGGGGCUCAGAGCCCCAUCCAACCCCAUCCCCUGGCUGAAGGGAACAUGUCCGGACAAGCCCCGUGCUUUGCUUCUGACUGGAGAAUAUCAGCUGUUCCCUCUGCGCCCAGCUUCACAGCUGACUUUGCAUUGCCCUGAUCAUCACUAGGGUCUCCUCACCUCCUCUAUUGCUCUCAAAGUCUAUUGGGGUCUUUGGACUGAGCUCUUAGUUUAAGACUGAGCUUUGGACUUAGCUGCUGUCAUGGGAAGCUGCAUUUUUUUUCUUCUUUAUGUAUGUUUUCCUGAACAGGAAGGUAAAAAUAAAUGGAGAGAAAAAACAAGUAUUGAUGGAACAGCUAGGAGGGAGAAGAGAGCUUUUUGUCUCACUGAGAAAUCUGACCUUUCAGAGGUAGCUUCAAGAAACCUCAAGGAAACGUGCUUUGCUGGCAUUUGCUGCAGGUGAUUCACUGGGAGUUUUCAUCCCCUCUUUCAGAAGAUAAUGUUUAGACUUUUAUUAACUUGCAAGCUCUGGGUGCCUUGGAGACCUGAGGAGCACAGAAACUCCCAGUUGGUGAGAUCAGGCUGUGCCUUUGCACAGAAAUCCUGGUUCUCAGGCUUUUCUGAAGCCUAUUCAGCAAACCCACCUUCCCUCAUGCGUGGAUACCAAGGCUGCAAUGCCAAUUAUAUUUGCAUGCCCCGAGGCUCCUUUGACCUCUCCUUAGCCAGAAGGAUGUGGGAAUCACACAGCAAAGGCAGCAUCAGGACACAUGCUGGGGGAGGCAUGAAGUCAUCCAGACAUGGCCUCCAUCUCCUGCAGCGCAGGGAGAAGGAAUUCCUUUGGUGAGCCCCGAAACAUGGCCCCAGGGACAGGAGGUAGCACAGGACUCAGCCGUGCUGAAUACCUGGUGCCCGGGGAACCUGAGCUUCAAAGCAACCAGACGGGAAGAAAAACGGAGGCAGCCAAACCAUGGCAUGAAUCGCAGAGAGAGUUCAGACUGAUAAAUAUUUCAGACUGACAGCUAUUCCUGUCCUUGGAAGUUCAUUCAUCAGAAUCUUAGCAAGGCCUCCACUACCCAGGACCAUAAAUACUGAGGCCUAUUUUAAUGACAGCUUUUGGCGUGGCUAAUACCAAAAGUAUGGCAGCCUGUUACAGUUCAACCUCCAUCCUCAGCUGCUUCAGCGUAAUUUAUUGCACCUGUAAAGGCUAUAUUCAAAUACACGCCUGUUGUAAUUACAGCCCCUGGCUGUGUGGGAUCCACCUGUGAGUUGAUUGUACCUUGUUUUGAUAAGAUGCUAGACAAUGACAACAAUAUAGAAACAAUAGCAGCCAUUAGUAUCUCAGCGAUACACACAGUCCCCAUGUCACACAAAAGGAGAGUUUUACUGUCUAUACGUGGGGGGAAAUUUUGACCCAAAUCAGGAAAACUGCUGUCAGGAGGGUAGGAAAAUGGGAAACCUGCAGCUCUGCUUCUCUCCCCUCUUCUGCACCGAUGCUCUGCCGUCCCAGCAUCACAGCUGGCAGGCAGCUCCUAUUUCUCUCCAAGCCUCAGAUCCUUGUAGAACUUCACGGUUGGCUUCUGGAGAAUAUUUGAUAGUCUUCUUAAAUUAGCCCUAAAUGGUUGGGUUGACCCGAAUACUUCAGUAGGAAGGAACUGGAGCCCUCCCCCGAAACACCUCCCUCCCUGUCAGUGAUGGCCUAUAAUGACACAGGAGAAAUUUGCUCUGCUCCUUUCUGUGCCGUGAACAAAUUCAGCCUUUGAACUCUUAGCACCAGCCCCAGUGCUAAGCAGCCUCUGCUCCCACCUCCAGGCACCAUCUUGGUCUCGAGCUCUCCAAGCACAGCCCUCUCCUACUGGGCGCUCCCCAGCACGUUUCAUUCAUGAAUUAAGUCCCUGACAGCCCAUAUCUCUAUGAUCAAUAUGUUUGUUUAUUAGCAGCAGCUGCUGUGUUUUAGCAAAACGGGAGGGCUCCAGCAGGAGCAGCGCGCUCUAACCGCAGAGCAGGCUUGGGAUGGGGAGAAGGACCUCCUGCUGGCAAAUGGGAGCUGGGUGGGAUAAGAUUUCACGCUAAUGACCCUUUAAUUGAAAUCACUGCUCAGGACAGAUUGCUCAUCUUGGGGAUAUCUGUGCUGAUGGCUCCCGGUUUGGCCGCUCCUGAGACAAAUCCAUUAACUCAGUAGCGAUGAACAAAAGCUAAGAGGGAGAGCAAGAGUCUGUCCAUCACUAGCACAGCUGAUCUGCACCCCAAGGCAGCCCCAGCCAGCAGCUGGUGUAAAUGGAGCCCUGCACAAAGGGUAUGGCAAGGGCUGUGGCAGCCCAGUGACUACCACUGGCACCUGGGCUUCUUAGAAUUAGGCAGCUCUGCUGGGCCUGUUUGCGGAGAUGCUGAUGUGUGUCUCUUGCAAUGCAAAGAGAAGCCUGAGUGCACAGAAAGGAAGGUUACGAACCUGCUUUGAAUGCAUUUAUUAUUCCCAUUAAUUACAAUGCCUGCUAAAGAGGACCAGCUGUUCUAGGAGGCUGUGGUACCAAUUUAUCAGGAGAAGAUUCCAACAGAAGUUGCAGAGUUUUCCUCUGAACUUGGGAGGAUGGAAGAUGGAGGUUUUUUAAUUAGAACUUGUUAUUAAUGGGAACGUAGCAAAUUAAAAAUAGUCUCCCUCCCCCCUCCCUAUUACAUGAAGCUCUGAUCUCAAUUAGAAAGAUCAGAGACUAACCAUUGAAUGGGAAUUACUGAGAUGAAAACUGAUUGAAAGACAAAAACCAAAGACAGAGGCAUCGUGGGGAGAGAACAGAGAUAGAAAACAAUGAGCAGAGGCUGUCAGAGGCUGUGUGCCACAGUCAGGUGGCAGAGGCUCAGCCAGGCAGGGUGGCUUUCUGCCUUAGCCCAUAGUGAGAACACCUGGUCUCACCUGGCGCUGUGUUGGAUGGUUCUUUCAGGGCUGGGGUCAGGUUAGGAAAGGUGCAGUGGGGUCUGAGCAGACCUAUCUCCUGUGUGACAAUCUUGGCUAAUGACUUCCCAAUGAGAACCUCAUCUGCUGCCCUUCGGUCACCUGCAGACCAAGUCCCUGUCUUCCUUGCAACAGAUAAUCCAUGGCAUAUUCCAGGGCAGGCAGGGACCUUAGGCUGAAAUUACAGCCUUGCUUACUAAUUGCUGCAUGUUCUCUCUCCGUAGGUAUAUCAUUGCCAGCAAUUAGCACAAAAUCCUUUCCCACUCUUGUUAAGUUCCUGUGCUGCAGUUAAAUACUCCCAGAUCCCAUUUAAAUGAUUUCAAAUGCAAUUCAUUCUGGCUCGUUAAAUAAUUCCACAGCAGUGUUUGUCGUCUUCUCUCUCUGUUUUCCAACAGCCACUUUCUCCCAGAAAGAAUAUGAUGACUAAAGAAUGGGAAGGGGAAGUGAGAUGUAAACUGAGAAAUUUGAGGUCCAUCCUCUCUGCCUAUAUUUUUACUUCUUUCUUCCUCCUCUUCUCCAGCUGUGACUUCUCCCAGUAGAUGGGCCUUAUGGGGGUCCAUAUGACACAAUUUCUGUUGGUUUCACCAACUCAGUGAGGUGGUGGCUUCAAUGUGCGCUCCCUGAGGCAUGGGGUCCACCAUCUGUUUGCAAGGAAUCAUCAAAAAAGUUGCAAAGAAAAGCAAUUUCCUUUCUGCCACUCAGCAGUCUACGACAGCGUUCCCAUUGGAAGAUUUGUAGUGGUCCUUGGGUUGAUGAAGCUGAAAGCCACUGUGCUGUAUGUAUUAAUGCAGAAGGGGCAAGAACAAGCGAGCAUCAUCAACAGAAGGGCAGCUCCUGCAGGGAGGGAAGAUGUGCAUGUGGGCAGAGGCAUUCACAGGCUGCAGCCUGGCUGUGUGCUUCAUCAGGCUUGCUUGAGUGUUUCAGAAUGGCACGGAUGAACUCCAGCCACUUCGUUGCCAGGGUGGAGCGUGUGGCAUGGAGUGUGAUCCUCCUGGAAGGCUUUGAUGAAAAAUGUGAGCUCAGUUGGAAGGGAAGGAGAUGAAAGCAAAUUUCACAAAUGUCACAAGAGUUUUCACAGCAAAGUUAGCUGCUGGAAAUUAACUGCCAUCGCCACAAACCGCAGGCUGGGAUCCUAUUCCCAGGCAUUGGAAGGAUGGUCCUGAAAAACACCUCUAAAAUAAGUGGGGCAAUGGAAAGGAAAUCUCUGCCUGAAAAAUGUGUGCCCCCAUCUGUUAAACAAUAUUCAGGUGCUUCUGCAUUUACGCUUCCUCCAUACUUAAGCAGCGAUGGCUUUCAAAGGCAGAUUGCCUAUGCGAAGAACAGAUGGAGGGAGCAAUCCUCCCAUCCAAGCUCUGCACCAGAACUGAAGAAGUUUGUAAUCUGCUUCUUGUUCACAGAGCCAAGGCUUCAAACACAGCCCCUCUGCUCCAACAUGCUGGGUAGCUCAGGAGCCCACAUACUCUUGGUUUUCCUCGUCCUUCUCUGCAGGCUUUUCUGCUGAGCGCUAUUUUGUGAAGGCAGCAAUGGUGUCCAGAAUGUGUUCUGCAAGGGCAAAGGUAAAAGGGCAUCCAAGCCCAAAUUUCCUGCUUCCCCAUAGUGAGAGGAGAGAACUUUGUCCAUGAGCUGGUGAGUGAAGCCUUGUGGCUGCCUGCACGCUGCCCCAGCUUUUCAUCAGCACCAAAUUUGCAGCAAAAUAGGAAAAGUCAUUUCAUGAAAGCAAAAUAAUACCCGGUCGUACCAACAUCUCAGCUCUCAAUCUCUGUUUUCUAUAUCUCUGUUGAUGUUCAAAGGAAAACAAUGUGAUUGUUAAUUACAAACUGCUUUGAAUGCAUGCAAGGAAGCAGUUCAGCGCAGAGCCAGUCGGAAGCAGGAAAGCUGAGGAUACAGCAUGUGCCGAACUGCUUUAAAGGGCAGCAAGUUCCAUUGUAAUGAAUGCUGAUGCAAUCAUUGUACCAGACACAAAGUGGAAGUGUUACCUUGUGCAGCUCCCCACUGUUCUCUAUCUAUGGGGUUUUGCUUUGGACUGGAUGGAAAAGACUGAAAUACCAGGGGAGUGCUUUGCAUUUCAAAGAAGUUAAUGCGUAAGUGAUGUUGUGAUUCAUUAGCUCUCUACCACUGCAUUGGUGUCCCAGGGUCGACAGGUACACUGGCAGCCCAAUGGUCUUCACAGUCCAGCCCACCAUGGGGAAAGCAAUCAGCAACCUGAUGAUAUAGGCAAUGGAAGAGGGUCUGGAUACAAUAAAAAGGUAACAUACAUAUAAGCAAGAAGCACACACAGUGUCCCUGUGUGUACUGGGCAAGUCAAGAACAGGCUUAAAUGCAGAUGCAUGGACACGUGUGACAUGAGAACACAGAGCAGAUCCUGGCAGCAGCUCAUGGUGCAAGGAUGCUCCCUGGGCAUCCCUCCCAUCCAUUCUCAUGGCACAGUCCUGACUUACAUGCGGUUGGAGGCUACAGCAGAACCAGCAGCUGAUGAAUACAAGGAGAAGGCUUUGCACUCCCACCAGCCCUGGAAAUAGGGCAGCUGCUGUUUUGUUGCUGGCUGGACUGAGGCUUAUUUGCAAGGAAGGAGAUGGUGUUCUGUGGUUGAUCUCUCCUCCAGUCUGCUGCCAACACAAUCUGCAGAACUUCAAAGCUGCAAAUAGGGAAGUGGCUGUUAAGCAGCACUCAUCUCAGGGCUGAGCUUCGUGUUUCUCAACCAGGAGUGUGCAGUGGUCCUGAGCCAGGCAGAGAAUGGCUCUGGGGACAUCCCCAGGGAACACCUCUAGGGAGGCCUCUCCCCAGCCCCCAGAUGCAUCUCACUGCCUCGUGGGCAGCCCAUCUCCUCCAGCCUCACUCUCCCCGCCAGGCUCCAUCUACUGAAAAAAGGAUGCUCAGAAAGUUCACAGCUCCAUCCCAGGGGAAGCAUUUCAGCAGCUCUGCUUCCUGUGCACCCACACCGUUUCCCCCUCUCUGGGUCCUUCUAGUUGGAUUUUCCCACAUGCCCAGCCCGAGAACACUGCCUGAGCCCACUGCCAUCAUUUCAGCCCCUACCACAUGCAGAGGGAUGGUCGUUGGCUCCGCACUGUGGCUGCGCUCCUCCUCCUCCUCUUCUGCUUGCAGCCUUCUUCCUACAGAACAGUGACUAAUGCUGCUCCUCCACGCAGUGCAUCAUCCCGCGGGGGCGUGCGAGGGUGAGGAGCGAGCGCGGGUGGAGGAAGUGGGGAGCACAGGUGCCAAACGUGAGACAGCACCAGGGGACAGCAGCGGAGCUGGGGACGUGGAGAGGUGGCACUCGGCAGCAGGAUGUCAUCACCAGGGUCUUGUGCAUAUGAUUGACCUGGAGGAGCUGUGGGUGCACGGGGAGGGCUGCACUGAUGCGCUGCCCUGUUGGCAUCACACAAUAAGAAGUGACGGGGCAGCGAGAAAAGAGACCUUUUGCCAUCGUCCCCACUUGUCACAGUGCCAAAAGAAAGCUGCAGUGCUUUUAAACAAGCCGGCUUAACACGGCUCUGCUCUCCAGGCACAAGGGGGUGGUUUCUUUUACCGCCGCUUAAGAGCGGAGGAAGACGUGAGGGCUGACUGCAGGGCCGGCAUCCCUGUGGGGCCCGGCGCCCGCAUUGCCAACCACAGCCCUGUGAGCCUGGAGUAAUGGCCUAAAUGGGGGGAGAAAGCAGAGUGCAUUGCUAAUGGCAGUGGAGCAGGCAGCUGCCUGCUGCUCAGCCUCUCCUCCUCCUCCCUUCAUCAGAAUCCUGCACAAAGAGAACUGAAAGGGAUGGGGAUAAGGUGGGGUUAUGGAUAAGGAUGAGAAUGAGAACAGAGAUGGGGAUAUGAGUGGGGGUAUAGGUAGAGAUGGAGUUGGGAAUAGGAAUGGGGUUAUGGGUAGAAAUGAGGAUGAGGAAGAAGAUGGAGUUAUGGAUGGGAAUAAAGCUAAGGAUAGGGAGGGAGGUAAGGUUAUGGAUGGGGAAGGGGAUGGGGUUAUGGAUGGUGACGGAGGUAGGAGAAGGAUGGGAAGGGUAAUAUGAAUGAGGAUGGAGAUGAGGAAGCCCCUCCUCUCACCUCACAUCCUUCCAGGGAGGGUUCUCCAAUGUGGUGCUUAGGGGCAAAUCCCUGCCCUCGCCCCAUCCAGCCAAGCCAGGAUGCAGUGGUAUGGAGGAAGCAGGAUUCAGCUUCUACAGCCAGCUCUGAGACCGGGAGCUGUCAGUUUCAACAUUCACAGCCUUGGUCCUCACUUUAAUCAGCAGCAUGUCACCUUCAAAGAGGACAGGGAUGGAUGCAGAGCAGAGAGAGCAGAGAUUCUUUGCCCAGAUCCUGCCCAGAUCUCACCAGAAACAUGCUAUGGGACAAUAAAGAUAGAUUUAAAUAUGCUGAAAGCGUUCAGGGCUCUGUUUGCAAAGUUUCAAGAUGCAGCAGUUAGCAAAUAUUGAAGCAGCAGGUGAGCAUCAGCCUUGACUUAGAGGAUUUCUCACAACUGAGAAUCCCAACCUCCAGCCCUACCACCAACCCAGUGACUGCAGGAGGCAUGACCCCACUGUGGUGGGGAGUUGUCUUACAAACCUUCUCCAUUAGCAGCAAGAGAGAAUCCCAGCAGCAGGUUUCAUAGGCGGUCCUGAGCAGUUCUGGGCACCUGUUUGUCUCAGCAGUACAGUUCACAAGGCACCUCCAGCCACAGAAACGGAUGAGAGAAGCAACCAAUCCUCAGUCCUUGGCAUAAAAGCUCUAUAAAGGAGGAACGGGAGCACCUUAACUCAAGUGGCAGCAGUCCCCAGGGCCCUGGCCCUAUGUCAUCCCACCCUCAGCUGGCCCAUGCCUUCACCCAUCGCAUGAGUAUGGGCUUUCUCAUCCAUCCCUCAUUGGGAUGUUGGGGCUUUUGGCAGCUGCUGCACCACAAGGUGCUCUCCCACCUCCAACACGAAGGUCUGUGCUCCACGAGAGCCCAUCAGGACAGGGCAGAGGUUUGGUGCUGAAGCCUGCAUCUCCUUAGAGGAUCGGGCAUCUCUGCUCACAGCAGCAUGACUGCAGGGCUUUGUCAGCUGAUGAUAC